AUUGAACGCUGGCGGAAUGCUUUACACAUGCAAGUCGAACGGUAGAGGGGGCAACCCCUCGAGAGUGGCGAACGGGUGAGUAAUAUAUCGGAACGUGCCCAGUCGUGGGGGAUAACGUAGCGAAAGUUACGCUAAUACCGCAUACGAUCUAAGGAUGAAAGCGGGGGAUCGCAAGACCUCGCGCGAUUGGAGCGGCCGAUAUCAGAUUAGGUAGUUGGUGGGGUAAAGGCUCACCAAGCCAACGAUCUGUAGCUGGUCUGAGAGGACGACCAGCCACACUGGAGCUGAGACACGGUCCCGACUCCUACGGGAGGCAGCAGUGGGGAAUUUUGGACAAUGGACGCAAGUCUGAUCCAGCCAUUCCGCGUGCAGGAUGAAGGCCCUCGGGUUGUAAACUGCUUUUGUACGGAACGAAAAGGUCUCUCUUAAUACGGGGGGCUCAUGACGGUACCGUAAGAAUAAGCACCGGCUAACUACGUGCCAGCCGCCGCAGUAA
rnacentral:rRNA from 1 species